CACGUAGGGGACGAGCGUUGUCCGGAUUCAUUGGGCGUAAAGCGCGCGUAGGCGGCUCGGAAAGUCGGGCGUGAAAUGCCGGGGCUCAACCCCGGGACUGCGUCCGAUACUUCCGAGCUGGAGGUAGGUAGGGGAGAUCGGAAUUCCUGGUGUAGCGGUGAAAUGCGCAGAUAUCAGGAAGAACACCAAUGGCGAAAGCAGCUCUCUGGGACGGUACUGACGCUGAGACGCGAAAGCGUGGGGAGCGAACAGG
rnacentral:rRNA from 1 species